CUGUUUGCUGCUCAACACUGGCUUUUUAUAGCUGCCCUUUUAAUACAAUUACUUUUUUUGACAGGAACUUUUUUUGACGGCGCUGCUUUCGGCGUGAGCAGAUGAGAGAGAGAGUCAGAGCAGAUCAGCACAGACGGACCAGACAGUUUCUCCUGAAAAUCCACUGAUCUAACUGGAAAUGUGAUUGAGUGCACUAAAAGUGGAGCUUUUGAAGUCGAUGCGUCAGCCUGAAGUGAUGUCGUCGGAGACAGAAGAGAGAGACGGAGCGGAUCACAGCGUGUUGAAGCACUACUCAGAAGAGGCUGAAAUAAUGGAGGAAAACGGGAAAAAUUGAGAAAUGAAAAAAAGCUACCAAAUCUGAUGAAUGAAGUGAAGAUGGCCCUGAAGUCUCAGUGUUCGUCAGCAUCAGUCAGCUCUGACUUGGAAGAUGUGACAGGAUUUGCCACAGAGUAAUUACAGAGCCCUUCCAAAAGAACAGGAACAAUGUUGCAGAAAGUGUCCUCAUGUGGUGACCGCCAGCAUUGGUACAGCAAUUAAUGCCAAACUUACUGAAAUUAGAGGGAAGAAAACACAAAAACAUCUGAAAACCUUAAUGGUGUUUGAUGAUUGAUAGCCGUGACAGUGUGUUCAAGGUAUUUUGUUGUUGUUGUUGUUGUUGUUGUUGUUGUUGUUGGGGUGUGUGUGUGUUGUCUUCACAAAGUUCAGUUUGAUAUCAAGUUGUAAUUUUAAAUUACUCUUGUGGAGUAUAAUUUGAUUGUGUCCCUUUGAUUGUGUUGAAAUAAAAGUAUUUCUAAUGUAAA